rnacentral:tRNA from 2 species
CAGCUGUAGCUCAACUGGAUAGAGCAUUUGGCUACGAACCAAAAGGUUGGGGGUUCAAGUCCCUCCAGUUGC